GACGAACGCUGGCGGCGUGCUUAACACAUGCAAGUCGAACGGAAAGGCCCUGCUUUUGUGGGGUGCUCGAGUGGCGAAGGGGUGAGUAACACGUGAGUAACCUGUCCCUGACUUUGGGAUAUCUUCAGGAAACUGGGGCUCUUACCGGAUAGGAUCUCUUGCUGCUUGGUGGGGGUUGGAAAGUUUCGGUGGUUGGGGAUGGACUAGCGGCUUAUGGGCUUGUUGGGGGGGUAGUGGCUUACCAAGGCUUUGAAGGGUAGCCGACCUGGGAGGCGAACCGGCGCCAUGACGACUGGGAUACGGCCCAGACGCGAAUGGGAGGCAACGGUGGAGAAUAUUACACAGUAGGCGGGAGCCUGAUAUGACAACGCCGCGUGCGGGAAGACGUGCUUGGGGUUGUGAACCAAUGUCGCCUGAGACGAGACGUUAGUGACGGUAACGGGUGAAGAAGCACCGGCUAACUACGUG
rnacentral:rRNA from 1 species